GACGAACGCUGGCGGCGUGCUUAACACAUGCAAGUCGAACGGAAAGGCCCUGCUUUUGUGGGGUGCUCGAGUGGCGAACGGGUGAGUAACACGUGAGUAACCUGCCCUUGACUUUGGGAUAACUUCAGGAAACUGGGGCUAAUACCGGAUAGGAGCUCCUGCUGCAUGGUGGGGGUUGGAAAGUUUCGGCGGUUGGGGAUGGACUCGCGGCUUAUCAGCUUGUUGGUGGGGUAGUGGCUUACCAAGGCUUUGACGGGUAGCCGGCCUGAGAGGGUGACCGGCCACAUUGGGACUGAGAUACGGCCCAGACUCCUACGGGAGGCAGCAGUGGGGAAUAUUGCACAAUGGGCGGUAGCCUGAUGCAGCAACGCCGCGUGCGGGAUGACGGCCUUCGGGUUGUAAACCGCUUUCGCCUGUGACGAAGCGUGAGUGACGGUAAUGGGGAAAGAAGCACCGGCUAACUACGU
rnacentral:rRNA from 1 species